UAAACUCAUUAAUAUUCUUUCUCAAUAUAAAGCGCUUUUUUUUUUUUUUUUUUGGUAAUUGAAGAAACAAGUACAGCAGCAAAGAAGCACAAGAAGAAAGCACAAUGAAAGCAAAACAGAAAGAAAGCAGCUGAAUAGAGAACAUCAAGGAGGAGGAGCUGCUAUAUCAAACAAAAGAAAGCGUAUUAGGGAGGGAGGAGGGUUGGAGCACCAAUCAUCCGGGCACACCUUGCGUGAAGCCAAAGAAUUGAAGCCACACAAUCUGCAGCCGCAUUAGCCAAUUUACUGGCCCAGGGCCUACUGGCCGAGGGCCAGUUAACACGAUUGAAAAUAGAAGCUCGAGCUCUAAACCUUGUGACAAGAGGAGAGGCCGACCAAUCAACCAUCAAGAGCGGGUUUAGAAAGGCUGAAAUCAGAAACAAAGAAUCCGACUCCAAUUGGAAAGAAGAAAGAGAUAGAGAGGACCAAGGCCAAACUGAUGCCAAGGUCUAUAGCCAAAGCCUCAGCUGCCAGAGAAGAGGACGCCAAAUCUGUCCUUGCAAAACCGCCCAGUAAAUUUAGUGCGUCACAUUUAAACAAUGUAAAGUGAUUUUAUUUUUCUUUUUUCUUUUCCAACUAGAGUUGCUCUAGGGUACGAGCAGAGAAGAGUGUGGCGGAGAACCUUGCCAGAUCGACAGAUCUAGUGCGGCGAGUUCAUGUCAUCGCAGGUGCCGGACGAAUCCUAAUUGGGUGGGUUUGUGUCGCUAGUUCACGUGAGCCAGGGUUUUGGUAGAGCGUGGCGGCGUGGUCUGACAUCAAUAUGUUGAGGAGGUUGAUUCCAAGCAGGCGACGACGUAGAGUUGGCGGACAACAGAGAGGUGGAGACAUGGUUCUUGAUUAUGGUUAGUAUUGUUGCAGGUCAUCGGGUUUCACUACCAGAAAACUUAUCUUUUACGACGCACAAUUUACGGCGUGCAUAUCAUGCGCGCCGUAAAAGAGUGUCAUUUACGACAUGCUUUUUUAUGAGCCGUAAAAGAGUUCUCUUUCUGGUCAUUUACGGCGUGCUUCCCGUGUGUGCCGUAAAUGACAAAUUACAUUUACGGCGUACGUUUUUUGUGGGCUGUAAAAGACUUUCAUUUCUAGUCUUUUACAGCGUACUUCUCAUGUGCGCUGUAAAUGAAAGAAAAACCUUUUACGGCGUGCUUCAUAUAUGUGCCGUAAAAGACUAGAAAUGAAAGUCUUUUACGGCGUUCUUUCAAGUGUGCCGCAAAUUUCACAAAUUUUAAGAGCCCGCUCAUAUUUUCGGUCAACAAUUAAACUUCCCCCCUUUUCUUUAACUCUUUAAGGGAAGUGUUCCCAUCCUUCCAUCUCUCUCUCUCUCUCUCCCUCUCCCUCUGAUCUUGUCCUUGCCUACUCCAACGGGAGUUACCAGACGACUACUUCUGCAUAUCAAUGGAAGGGGGUUUUACUGGCCACCACAAGCACUUUCCCUCCAAAUUUGGGUUUCACUUUUUGGGGUUUCUUUUAGAUCUGGAGACGAACAUCAUCGCUUCGGUAUUCCAAUUCUCUUUUUGGGUUUUGACAUCAUCAGGAUCUGGGUUUGUGAUUAUUCUGUUUCUAUGCCGUCGAAACCCAUCCCAUCUUGAACUGAAAAUUCCAGAAACUGAAAUUUCCUGAGCUCUGGGAACCUGGAGAUGGACACUUUCCGAGUUUUCUAAUUCAUUUCAUCAUCAUUUGAUUGUUGUCUUUGAAUUUUCUUUCUAGGUUUUUUGGUGGUUUUGUUUUUGUUGUUGCUAAUUUGGGUUUUGGUGAAUUUGUGAAGAGCAAGCGGUGUGUGUAGAAAUUGGAAACAGGGGUGAAGCAGAGUCUGGGACGCAGAGACAGUUUGAGCUUUGCUGGUUGGAAGAUGGGUUCUCAGAUAUGAUUUUUGGGUGUGAGAACUCUAGCUGGAGAACAAGAGGAUGAUGGACAGUUCUAUUAAAUAGAGAGGACAAGCCUUCUGAGGGCAAGAGAAGAAGCUUUGGGUUUGCGAACUCUAGCUGGAGAACAAGAGGAUGAUGGACAGUUCUAUUAGAGAAAUAGAGAGGACAAGCCUUCUGAGGGCAAGAGAAGAAGCUGGUUCGAGGUUAAGAAAAGUGCUAAGCAAGGGCAGAUGAUGUGUUUUUCUUCUGAUCGGAUACAAGAAGGUAAUUCAAAUAAGCCCCUUUCAACUGGUGUAGUAGAUGCUUAUCUUGCAGAGUGGAUGAGAAAAAUGAAUGUAAAGUAGUGUAGGAAAUGGAUGUAAAGUAGUUGUGAAGGUUUCUUUUUGCUUCUAUGGAUUUUUAUUUGCUUGUAAGCAAAUCUUAUAUGAUGUACAAUAAUUAUAUAAAUGAAGUUUAUUUACCAACAAAAAUAUAGAAACAUGAAAUAAUAUGUAAA